rnacentral:lncRNA from 1 species
CUUAUCUUAGAGCCGGAGGAAUUGUAUAAAGAUGUUGAAGUUGUUGUUUGUACUUCCUCAUCUAAUAUGGAAUUUAGAUGAUGUUUAUGUUUAUUUGGAGAAACUGGAUGGCGUUUGAAUGAUGUUUAUGUUUAUUUGGGAGAAUUCGGAUGAUGUUUAAUUAGAACUUUUAUACAUUUGUGCUUAUGUGAAGAAUAUUAAAAUUUAUUGUUGUGCUUAUUAUAUUAUAUAAUAUAUAAUGUGUAUAUAAAAUAUGUUAAUAUAUAUAUAUAUUGAAUUUUAUUGAUCAAUUUGUGUUUUAAACCCAUAACUUUGGAGGUAAAGCUCAUUUCUGUUGAUCGAACUCCUUGUUGAUGAACCACACACUAAAUUUGAGUUCAUCAUAAAUUUUAGUAAGUUAAAACAUUUAAGGCUGCAAUGAAUGGAAAAGAAGUCCUAUGUAUUGUCAACAGUAAAAAGAGAAAUAGAGAGAAAUGCAAAUAUAAUCCAUCCAUGGCAACAAAAAGAAAUAACCUAUUAUCUUCUUCCUCAUCACCAACACGUACAUGUCUCUGCUCACCUACAAACCAUCCAGGCUCGUUCAAGUGCAGCCUACACAGAAUUACUACUAUUACAACAUCUGGUGGACUUUAUCGAGAAUCAACAGCUCAUUUGAACCGAUCAUCAAUGUUGGAGGUGUCUUCUUCAUCAAAAUCAAAGACAAUGAUGAUCAAUUCAAAAGCUGAUACCAUAAAGGCAUUUCUUUUACAGAUUAUCAAGCCAUCAAGUCAUGAUCUUCAAAGAAGACGAAACUUUCAGCCCAAGCCUACAAGAUUCUCCCCUUUUAAUGCCUGCAAUCACCAUUUUCAUGGUGGCCUCACUGUUUCUUGAUCAGCAUAGAGGAGGAGAGAUGAAGGUGUUCUUUUCUUUUCUUUUCUUUUCUUUUUUUUUUUUUUCGUUUCUUUCUUUCUAUUUUUUCCUUUUAUCAAAUUAAGUAGAAAACAAUUAUUUUCUGGUUGCCAAUGUGCAAUAAUUAAGUGAAUAAUAAUAGUUUUUUUUUUAAACUUAUUUAUGUCAGAAAAUUUUAUUCAAAAAAUAAACGUCAGAAAAUUAGAAAGUAAAUUUAAUUUAGUUGCUUUUAAAGAAAUUUUAAUCGAGAAAACUGAAUUUUUGAUUGAUGAGGAUGGUAAAAUUGCAAGCUAUCCUCGUCGGUUUCUUUCCUUUCUCUUCUUUUAAUAUGUUCACCUUUUGUAUAUAUGCUUUUUAUUUUAUUUUUUUAUACAUAUGUACGAUUUUUAUUUAAUACCUAUGAUUGAUAAUUUUUAUUCAUGUAUAUAUUGCAGUAACUAGCGAUAUACCCGUGCUAUGCACGAUUAAAAAAAAUAAAAUAAAGUAAAAUUGAGAGAAUAUAUAUAUAAUUUAUAGAUUCUUGAAUAAAAUUUUUUUUAUUAUGUUAUUAAAAAUAUUAUAAAGAUAUAUCAAUAGUAAAAAAAAAGAUAUAUAUAGCGUGAUUAUUGAUUAUUAAAUUAAAAUUAAUAGAUAGGCAUGUGUUUUGGAAUAUGGAUUAAAAAUAUUAAAAUUUAUAGAGAUAAAUUAAAAAAAAAGUAAAAUGAGAGGUGGUAAAAUUCAUUAAUUUGAUUUAUUUUAAAAUUAAUGUAAAAUUAAAAUAAUGAACUUGUUAUUUCAUUAAAAUCUAUGAAUAAAUAAUUUAUUUUAAAUAACUAAAAGUUGUAUAAAUCUUCAACUUAUCAUAUUGUUAAUACUAUAAUUAUAAAUUAUAUUUAAUAUAAUUUAAUUUAAUACAAAAAUUUUAAUAUUUUAACUAAUUUUCAAAAUUGCAACAGAAAAACGAAAAAUAAAUAAUUUGAAAAAUAUUUUUCAAGAAUUUUUUUUUUUUUUUGAAAAAUAAUUUUCAAAGAUAUGUUAUUUUUUGGAAACAAAUGGAGCCCCUAAUUGGUAGAAUUAUCUUUCAUUUUUUAAAGUAAAAAAAAAAAAAAAAAAAACAUAAAUUAAAAUUGCAAUUUUGGCUUUUUUUUCCCAAAUUAAAUAUGGUUUACAUAAACCACCUAGCUAAAGGUGGACAUUCGGCAUAACCAAACCAGAGGGAAGAGUUUGGAAAUCAAUUCAAUAUCAAAUCAAACCAGAUCAAUUUUGGGUUUGGUUCAAUUAUUCGAACCGAAUAAUAUAUUUUAGACGUUAAAGUGAAUUCGGUUAGUUAUGCAAGUGACAAAACCAAAUACCAUUCGUUUAUCACUAUUCAAAUUGUGUAGUAAUCAAACUUUUAAAAGUUGACCAAAUCAAAUCGAAAUGGUUCGAUUUGAUUAUUUGAUCCGAACCAAAAUACUAUUUACGCCUACUCCUAGCUUAUAAAAACAUAUUAAAAAGUUUUCUAUGUGAGUUUUAGAAGUUUUCCAUUUUAGUUUUUUGCUAUAAAGAAAACAAAAGGGGUUUUCUAUUUUAGAAUUAACUUCAAAUAACUCUAAACUAAAUAACUCAAUCCAAGGUUUGCAAAAUAUGGAAUGUAGCCGGAUUUUUUCGGUAAAGUGUAAGGACAAAUUUAUGUAUUUGGAUGAUUAUUAUUGUAAUUUAUAUGAACCAAUUCCAUUAUUUAAAAUAUAAGGUGUGUUUGGUUGGGGGGUAAGGAGAUUAGGGAAGUGCAUAAGUGUUUUUUUGUUUGAUUUGCAUUAUCAAUUAUACUUUCUGAGAAGUAGAUCAUUCAAUUUCUCUUAUACAAGGGAAGUAAAUUCCUUAGGUAUAAGUAGAGAAGUGCAACUUCCUUAAUUAAAUGCAAUGAAUUUACUAAUUUAUCCUAGUAACUAUAUUGUGGAUAUCAUUGUGAUUUAUAGUUUGAGAGCAAUUCAUUUCUUACAAAGUUGAUUUACAUACCAAACACAUAUAAAUUAUACUUCUUGAAAAAUAAUUUCCUUCAAAGUAUACUUCAUGAGAAUUAUACUUUUCGGAAGUAAGUGAUUUUGAACCAAACGAGGCCUAAGAUCAUUACUAUUAAAAAAUUAAAUAUUAUAUGUGUCAUUUGUAGAAAGAAACUAUAUACAUGCAAUUUCAUAACUUGAAGUUAUUCUAUAAAAGAGAUGUUUUUCUUUUUCGCUUCUAUAGUGGCUCCUUUUCUUCCUUUCUUGUACAAUGAAAGUUGAUCUCGUCUCUGAGUCAAUAUAUAUAUACUAAGGUUAAAAACCAGAUUUGGUAAUAUAGUUCAGGCAACCAUAAUAACGCCAGUGUCUGUGAAGAACUUAACAGGCAGAGCAAAACCUUAAAUGAAUUUCCGACCUUCUCAGGUUUUGUAAUAAUAUGAUCCCAUUAACGUCUAGAUUAAUUUAUUUUUGCAGAACAAAUGUAAUGAAUUAGGCCAAAAGAGAUGAAUAAAUAACGUAAUUUCCAAGAAAAAGAGGAGCAUUGUCGUUGGAGUAGAGGGAGAGAUGGAGGGGGGGUCACCCUCGCAGCUGUAACUUUGUCUUCUUUCCUUUACCUUAAGAUUGAGACAGCCCUAGUGUGGUCGCUUCUGAGUUUUUUUUUAUCCCUUCUUUUUCUCUUUUCUUUUCUUAAUAUAAAUAAUAAUUAGUAAAUAAAAAACAAAGAUAAAAAUACGUUGAGUCGUUUUCACAACCGCACUCAGUCUCACUUCUUCUUAUUCUCUACCAUUUUUUUUCUUUCUCCUCUGCUCUAUUCACUCACGAGAGCACCAAACCAGUACUUGGAAAACGACAUUCCCAUAACUUUUAAGGCGUGCGCUGGCUGGCUUUGUUCACAUGAUAAAUUCUAGAUCCGGAUGAAAAAAAUGCAUGGAUACAUAUGCUUAUAGAAAAGAAUCAGUAACAGGCCCCCCCCAGCUUCCACCUUCCCCCUUCCCCCUCUAAAUGGACCUACCCAUGAAUGGCACUUUAUCACUUAAAUUGACCAAUUGUUGCUCCACUUUCUAACUCAAAACUAAAGGGACCUCUAUCUAUCUAUCUACCCAAAAAACAAUUAAUGCAAAUUAUAGGUAUGAGGAAAAGAAGAAAAUUACAAUUUUGUAAGUUUAAGGAUUUAAUAUUAACCUAAAAAUUGAGAAAUCAUUAAAACUUUCUUGUAAAUUUUAGGUCAUAGUUUAUACAUUUGGCCAUGAAGUUAGUACAACUAUUGUUUGAUUAUAAUCAAAUUAAUUGACAUCUUCAAAAAAAAAAAAAAAAAGUAACAUUUAUGUUUCAAAAAUAUUUAAUAAAAAAAAGAAGAAAAAAAGGAGGGUAAUGAUGGUAUUUACAUGUGAAAGUUCAACAUAUAAAUAAGAUAUACAUGGAGAGUAAUAUAUUAUAGUAAUAUAUCUGUGCCUGGUGUUAGAGUCUGGGAAUGAAUAGUUUUCUCUGUUGAUUUUCUCUUUCCCUUUCUCUUGUUUCUCCUCCAAAUUUUCAGUGCUUCUGAUAACGAACAACAAAAUCAUUGAGAAACACUCCAAUCGCAAGGUGCUUCUUUUCUCUUUCCCUAAUUUAAAAAAAAAAAAGAAAUGAUAUUCUUUAAGCUUGUAACUGAUUCUCUUUUUCUCUAGAAAUUUGAUUUCUUUAAGGGAAACCAUGAGGAGGAUAAUCUAUCGGUUGAAACCCUUCAUUUGAUUUUUGAUUUCUGUGGUGGGUUUUGAAAUUUCGAUUUUCUUUACUUUAAUUCGAUUUAUUGGAUUAUGUUUUAAUUUUUCAGCUUUAAAUUAUAAUUUUACAAAUUAUCAGAAAUAUUUUAACUUCUCCCUUUCGUUCUUUGGUUCGUUUAUUACUGUAACUGAUUCUCUUUUUCUCUAGAAAUUUGAUUUCUUUAAGGGAAAAGACGAGGAGGAUAAUCUAUCCGUCGAAACCCUUUAUUUGAUUUUUGAUUUCUGUGGUGGGUUUUGAAAUUUCGAUCUUCUUUCCUUUAAUUCGAUUUAUUGGAUUAUGUUUUAAUUUUUCAGCUUUAAAUUAUAAUUUUACAAAUUAUCAGAAAUAUUUUAACUUCUCCCUUUCGUUCUUUGGUUCGUUUAUUACUGUAGAAUAAAAAAUAACAUUGUUACGCUUUGAGAGUAAAUUUUAAGUUAAUGAAUGUUAAGCAAAAAAAAAAAAAAAGAAAACUUUUUAUUGGUUAUUUGCGGUAGAAUCAAUGACAUAGUAGAGUUUUUAAGGCUUAUUAUAGAAUUUUAGAUUUAUUCCUUCAAUUGAUAGUCUUUCUUUCUUUCUUUCUUAGUGUUCGUAGCAGCUGUUAAUUAAUUAUUCUUGGUUGGUAUCUGAUGGAUGCCAAUAACUGGAGGCCCACCGGCCAAGGUGCAGAACCUACAAUGGAUGCUGGUGAUUGGAGAGCUCAGUUGCAGCCUGAUUCGCGGCAGCGAAUUGUCAACAAGAUGUGGGUGCCGUUGCUUUCAAUUUGUAGCUUUUCAUUUACAUAUAUCUAAGUUGCAGUGGCUUUGCUAUAAAAUUAGUAAUUUACAUCCCUAACGUCAAUACAAAUAUUUUAUACAUUGAGGGUCCUCUUCUUUGUGCUUAUAAUAUAAUUGGUAAUGCAAUAUUUGCAUGUAGAAUGGAGACAUUAAAGAGACAUCUUCCAUUUUCUAGUCAAGAGGGAUUGGAAGAACUCAAGAAAAUUGCAGUGCGGUUUGAGGAAAAGAUUUAUACUGCUGCUGCAAGCCAGGUAUGCUCUUAAUGAUGAAGUAUACGUCCUUAUGUUAAUCCUCUUGGUUUGUUCAUUUUAUCUAGAAGGGUAGGAGAUUGGAACAACGGAAGUGUACACAAAAUAAUAGGGGAGAGGGAGAAAGCCCAGAGUUUUGAUGGGGGGGGUGUUGUUUGUUGUGGGUGGGUUGGGGGGCCAGCGGAACUGCAAACAUGGGUGUCCACUAUAUGCCAAUGGUUCAGCAUGUAGCCUCCUCCCACCCCGCCUCUCCCAUUAAAAAUCUUGACUGCAACAUUUUUAUAGUGGAUCGUUGUGAGUUCUAAGUUUAUUCUAAUGAUCUCUGAUUUCAGCCGGAUUAUCUACGGAAAAUUUCUUUGAAGAUGCUUACAAUGGAGUCCAAGUCUGAAAAUCCUAUGCCGAAUUCUUUACCACCCAAUGCAUCUGGCAAUAGCAACAGAGCCCCUGAUCCAGGAGGUAAUAACUCUACAUAACAUUGGACUUCCAUGUGAUGCCAUUGUCAACAUUUCAUUUUGGGUUAAUGUCACAAGCAGUCAUGAACUAGUCAGUGACUGUCCCUGAUAUAGCAAUAACCCUAUGUACACUUCUUUACCACCCAGACAGCUUGGUCCAGAAGGUAAUAGCUUGAUUGAACGUUGGACUUCUAUUUGAUGCGAUUGUCCAAGUAUUAACUCAUGUUAGCUUUUGGUGAUGUAAGGUUACGAUUUUCUUGUCUGUUUGGAUUAAUUAACACUAAUUUACUAGUCCUUAACUUUUGAUUGGUUAAGACAGUUCUAAAAUCACUCCGACCAUUUUAGGCCAUUUAGAAAUUUAUGAAGCUGAAGUUGGUAUCGAGCAUUGUACGUUGCAGGAGUUCAAAACAGAGGAGCAGUUCACUGCUUUUGCAAUUUGACUGGCAAAAUUACAGAGAGGGAUGUAAAAGGAGAGAGAAUUAGGAGUUAUUUUGGUACAAAUUGAAAAUUUAAUACUUGAAUUUGAAGUGUUGAAUAAUAUACUCCAACUUGCAUACAUGACAGUUCUUUUUGUAAGAUGCACAAAUUGAUCAAAUUUUUUCAUCCAUGUUUUGGUAUUUAUACAAUUAACAUGUGGCUAUGUCCUCUCUAGAACUGAAUCCGCUAUUACUCAUAUUCGUGCGGAUUUAAAAUGCUCCAUGUAGUCAGAUUAUUUUAAAAAAAGAUACUGAGAAGUUUGUAAUUGACCAAAUUAAUUUGAAUGCUAAUAUUAGACAAAACCGCUGAGUAUUUUAAAAUUUGAGUAUCUCCUCCCUCCAAUUCCAUUUAAGGGGCAAAAAGAAGAUUUGUUAGUGAAGGUAUCUGCCAUUUUUUACUUGCUGAAAUCAUUUUAUUUGCUGCUAUUUAACUAAUUAACUUUUCUUAUUUGCUUCAUAGAUGCAAAGAAAGCAGAGUUGGAAGAACUUACAAGAGAAACUAUGGAGCUUAACUUAGAGCCGGAGGAAUUGUAUAAAGAUGUUGAAGUUGUUGUUUGUACUUCCUCAUCUAAAUUGUAAUUUAGAUGAUGUUUAUGUUUAUUUGGGAGAAUUCGGAUGAUGUUUAAUUAGAACUUUUAUGCAUUUGUGCUUAUUUGAAGAAUAUUAAAAUUUAUUGUUGUGCUUAUUAUAUUAUAUAAUAUAUAAUGUGUAUAUAAAAUAUGUUAAUAU